UACGUAGGUGGCAAGCGUUGUCCGGAUUUACUGGGCGUAAAGGGCGCGCAGGCGGUCGUCCAAGUCGCGUGUGAAAGCCCCCGGCUCAACUGGGGAGGGUCACGCGAUACUGGUCGACUCGAAGGCAGGAGAGGGUAGUGGAAUUCCCGGUGUAGUGGUGAAAUGCGUAGAUAUCGGGAGGAACACCAGUGGCGAAGGCGACUACCUGGCCUGUUCUUGACGCUGAGGCGCGAAAGCUAGGGGAGCAAACGGG
rnacentral:rRNA from 1 species